rnacentral:rRNA from 1 species
GACGAACGCUGGCGGCGUGCUUAACACAUGCAAGUCGAACGAAGUGGCGAACGGGUGAGUAACGCGUAAUCAACCUGCCCUUCAGAGGGGGACAACAGUUGGAAACGACUGCUAAUACCGCAUACUGAAGGAGGGGAUUGAGUCUGAUUAGCUAGUUGGGGGGGUAACGGCCCACCAAGGCGAUUAUCAGUAGCCUGGUGGGGAGGAUGGACUGCCACAUUUGGACUGAGACACGGCCCAGAAUCCUACGGGAGGCAGCAGUGGGGAAUCUUCCGCAAUGGACGAAAGUCUGACGGAGCAACGCCGCGUGAGUGAUUACGGCCUUCGGGUUGUAAAGCUCUGUUAAUCGGGACGCGGUACCGGAAUAGAAAGCCACGGCUAACUACGUGCCAGCCGCCGCGGUAAUUC